GGGGGUGUUUGUGGUUAUCUUACUUGGGGAAGUUCUUAUGUUUAUCUUGCUUUUCAUGUGUCUUUCUGUAGACAUAUCUGAAGAGAUGGAUUAAGAAUGCUUUGGAUUAAGGAUUGUGGAGCACAUUUCAAUCAUUUUAGGAUUGUCAAAGGAGGAUUGAGGAGGAUCAGAUCAAUAAUGGAGGCAAUGGUUUGGAUUGGAGAGGGCUCACUGGAUCCCAAUCCUUGGAGCUGGAUCAUUGGAUUCAAAUCAUAAUGUGGAUAGGAUAGGGAGGAUGAAUUACCAGGAUUCAUGGAGCGGGAUCAGAUUACCAGGAACAUAGGAGUGGAUUCCUUCCUGCCCCAACCAAACCGCAUUCGUGUGGAUUUUUUUUUCAUUCAACUUAAUUGGCUAUUCCAAAGAAUUUUUUCCUAUUUUUGACGAUUGGAGCCCUUAAGAUGCACGAUGGAAUUGUGUUUUGCAUUUUUUGGUAAAAGGAGCAAAGCGAGGACCUGGAGAUAUACGCUGGAGCAAUCUCCUUGGAAGGAUUCAGCACGAGUAGAUGGUAAACAAUUAAAGGGGAAAAGGGGGGGUUUGUUUAAAAUAGUAAAUCAGUAAGUCACUUCUAAAUUUAAAGAACAAAAUUGGAGUUGAAGAAUAAGUAGGUUUCCAAUUGGCUAUUGCCGUUUUUCUUUGAAAAAUAAACAUUUUUUAAAAAACGA